rnacentral:rRNA from 1 species
GACGAACGCUGGCGGCGUGCCUAAUACAUGCAAGUAGAACGCUGAAGGAGGAGCUUGCUCUUCUGGAAGAGUUGCGAACGGGUGAGUAACGCGUGGGUAACCUGCCUGGUAGCGGGGGAUAACUAUUGGAAACGAUAGCUAAUACCGCAUAAGAUUGAAUAUCGCAUGAUAAUUGAUUAAAAGAUGCAAUUGCAUCACUACCAGAUGGACCUGCGUUGUAUUAGCUAGUAGGUGAGGUAACGGCUCACCUAGGCGACGAUACAUAGCCGACCUGAGAGGGUGAUCGGCCACACUGGGACUGAGACACGGCCCAGACUCCUACGGGAGGCAGCAGUAGGGAAUCUUCGGCAAUGGGGGCAACCCUGACCGAGCAACGCCGCGUGAGUGAAGAAGGUUUUCGGAUCGUAAAGCUCUGUUGUAAGAGAAGAACGAGUGUGAGAAGUGGAAAGUUCACACUGUGAUCGGU